rnacentral:rRNA from 1 species
GACGUAGGAGGCGAGCGUUAUCCGGAUUCACUGGGCGUAAAGCGCAUGUAGGCGGUUGCACAAGUCCGUUGUUAAAGCCCCUGGCUCAACUGGGGGAGGUCAAUGGAGACUGUGCGACUUGAGGGCAAUAGAGGCACGUGGAAUUCCCGGUGUAGUGGUGAAAUGCGUAGAGAUCGGGAGGAACACCUGUGGCGAAGGCGGCCACCUGGGCCGACCCUGACGCUGAGGCGCGAAAGCGUGGGGAGCGAACAGG